AUUGAACGCUGGCGGCAGGCCUAACACAUGCAAGUCGGACGAGCGGCGGACGGGUGAGUAAUGUAUGGGGAUCUAGCUGAUGGAGGGGGAUAACUACUGGAAACGGUAGCUAAUCCCGCUUACCAUCGGAUGACACCACGUGGGAUUAGUUUGUAGGUGAGGUAACGGCUCACCAAGCCGACGAUCCCUAGCUGGUCUGAGAGGAUGAGCAGCCACACUGGGACUGAGACACGGCCCAGACUCCUACGGGAGGCAGCAGUGGGGAAUAUUGCACAAUGGGCGCAAGCCUGAUGCAGCCAUGCCGCGUGAAUGAAGAAGGCCUUCGGGUUGUAAAGUACUUUCGGUAGCGAGGCGUUAACGACAGAAGAAGCACCGGCUAACUCCGUGCCAGCAGCCGCGGUAAUAC
rnacentral:rRNA from 1 species